AGAGAGGGGAAAGUACCUCUAGGAGAGAAGGCCGCAGCUGGGAGCUGGCUGGCCUGGGAGGGUGCAGACACCCUUCCUGGGGAAACACUGCAUCUUUAUCAAGGAAAACUCCCCCAUGGGCCUGUUUGGUCAGGCAGUGCCUCUGGGCAGGACCGGGAGGAGUUCAGACAGCUAAGAGUCAAAUGGCCCUACCCAUAAUGGGAAUUUAGAGCUGCUCAUGGGCACUGUGGAAGAGGAGAAAGACCCAGAGGGAGACCCACUGCAGCCAAGGAGGCUACGUAGAGGCAGUGGAUGAGAAAACGGAAGAUGAGAGAGAUCGAAUGACUUGUUCAAGGACACACAGUCGGGAAGUAGCAUCUCCCAGCCUGCGCCGGGACAGCUGCUGUCAGCAUCACUGAGGGAAAUGCCACCUCGGCCCUGACAGCUGCCACUUGGCACACUUUGUAGAGAGCUUCUCCGGGAAGGAAAAAACCAGCCAGUCAUGCAGAUGCUAUUUAAAAUGAGGAAACUGAGGCCAAGACAGGGGCAGGGGCUGGCCCAAGAUCACAGAGCAAGUCAGAAUUGCAGAAUAUGAGAGCAGGACAUCAUGAUCAAAAUCUUCAAAUCUAACACCCAUAUUGUACCAAUGGAGAAACUUCGGCCCAGAAAGGAGAAGCAAUUUGCCCACGUCCAUGCAGAAAAUCAGUGGCAGAGCUGGGAUCUGAGCCCAGAUCCAGGAGCACCAUGUGCCUGCCCUAUACAGCUGCUCUGGGGGCUUCCCCCAUGCUGGAAUUGGUUUCUACUCCACCAGGAAGUAUGUAAGUUGCUUCUGGUCAGAGAAGGGGACUUCUCACUCUUUCAAGUUGGCGCCUUGAGAGUUCAGCAAACCUAGGCCCAAGUUUGACCCCUGCUCUCUAGCUGAUCUCUCUACCCUGUCCAAACUCCAAACAGUGUCAUUUAAGGCUGUUCAUCAUUCUGCCUCUUUAUACCUUUUCUUGCUCGUCCCCCAUCUUGUUCCAUUAACCGCUGAUCCUGUAAUGUCUCAUUCUCCCUGAGUAAGCUAUAUUCUUUCAUACCUCCAUAUACUUUUGCAUGUGCUUUUGCCUAGAAGGACAUUUCUCUGCCUGUCAAACUCCUAUUCAUCCUUCAAGACCCCACUCUGAUAUCAGUCCCUCUCAGAAACAGAGUCACUAAUCUGGGGCUCACAGGCUCUCUUGGACAUCCCUUGAUCUAGUAAGUUAAAAUUAAUGAUAUGAUUCUCUUUACAAGUUCAAGAGCUCACUAGUGGCAGGAACAGAGGCUGAGCAAUGUCUGUUUUCCCAGCAUCCAACUCAGAACCUGAAACAGAACAGGUUCUGAAGGAAUGUUUAGUGAAUGAAUGCCCUGCACGGUGACUCACUAAUGGGCCCUGGCCCAGAAGGCCAGGCUGUCCCCAGAGAAGCAAAAGGAAAGAAUGACACCAGCAUGGCAUUGAGUUCCAGGCCUAAUUAGAAGCCAACCUCUAGUAAUUCAUAAAAUUCAGCCAAGUUUGUCUUCAAGAUCUUACCUCCAUCCUUUCUGGGCCACCUCACCUUCCCACUAUCACACCCAGUCCUGCUGCCUCUCUGAUGCAUAAAUCACCCACCAGGCUCUCUCUCUCUCUCGGGGGCCCAAGGCUUCAAAAUAACUUAUUUCUCCCUUAACCUCCAGAGAAAUUCUUUUACUCUAAUUGAGACCAAUUGUCUUGGAUGUUGGAAAAGCAACCUGAUUAAACAUGUUCAUAAUGACACAUGAAGGACUUGUAUGCCAUCCAACUUUCUUAGAGAUGUUGGCAAAAAAGGAAGGAGGAGGGAAGGAAGGAGUUGGGAAAUAUUGUUAACAAUGAGAUUUAACAAUAAAGCAGAAUUGGAAGUAAACUCAGACAAGAAGCACUUUCCUAAUGUUUACAAAAGCU
rnacentral:lncRNA from 10 species